rnacentral:tRNA from 1 species
GAGAUACUAGUGAAACCUGUAUUACACCGCCUUGUCAAGGCCGAAUUGCGGGUUAGACCCCCGUGUAUCUUU